rfam:Trueperella pyogenes strain TP6375, complete genome.
UUGUAAGUGUGUAAGGGCGUUCGGUGGAUGCCUUGGUACACGGAGCCGAUGAAGGACGUUGUAGCCUGCGAUAAGCCUCGGGGAGUUGGCAUACGAGCUGUGAUCCGAGGGUGUCCGAAUGGGGGAACCUGCCUGGAGUUGUUUCUGGGUACCGUCAUCUGAAUGUAUAGGGUGAUUGGGGGUAACGCGGGGAAGUGAAACAUCUUAGUACCCGUAGGAAGAGAUAUUCUGUGAGUAGUGGCGAGCGAAAGCGGAUGAGGUUAAACCGGGUGUGUGUGAUAGCCGUCGGGCGUUGCAUAUUCGGGGUUGUGGGAGCUGCGUGAUUCCUCCGACGAGGGGUUAAGGAGUGAUAAAGGUGUGGGAUAGGUGAAUCAGUUGGGAAGCUGGACCGUAGACCGUGAUAGUCGGGUAGGUGAAAUCCUGCGCUCUUCUUGUGGUGUUCCCGAGUAGCACGGGGCUCGUGAAAUCUCGUGUGAAUCUGCACAGACCACUGUGUAAACCUAAAUACUUCGUGUGACCGAUAGUGGAUGAGUACCGUGAGGGAAUGGUGAAAAGUACCCCGGGAGGGGAGUGAAAUAGUACCUGAAACCGUGCGCUUACAAUCCGUCAGAGCCUUCUUUGGUGGGGGUGAUGGCGUGCCUUUUGAAGAAUGAGCCUGCGAGUUAGGAUGUGUGGCGAGGUUAACCCGUGUGGGGUAGUCGUAGCGAAAGCGAGUCUGAAUAGGGCGUUGAGUUGCAUGUUCUAGACCCGAAGCGAAGUGAUCUAGCCAUGGGCAGGGUGAAGCACGUGUAAGAGCGUGUGGAGGCCCGAACCCACUUCAGUUGAAAAUGGAGGGGAUGACCUGUGGUUAGGGGUGAAAGGCCAAUCAAACUUCGUGAUAGCUGGUUCUCCCCGAAAUGCAUUUAGGUGCAGCGUUGCGUGUGCUUGCUGGUGGUAGAGCGACUGGAUGGUCGAUGGCCCUUAUACCGGGUACUGAGAUCAGCCAAACUCCGAAUGCUGGUGAAGUUGAGCGUGGCAGUGAGACUGCGGGGGAUAAGCUCCGUAGUCGAGAGGGAAACAGCCCAGAUCAUCGGUUAAGGCCCCUAAGGGUGUGCUAAGUGGGAAAGGAUGUGGAGUUGCUGUGACAACCAGGAGGUUGGCUUAGAAGCAGCCAUCCUUGAAAGAGUGCGUAAUAGCUCACUGGUCAAGUGAUUCCGCGCCGACAAUGUAGCGGGGCUAAGUACACCGCCGAAACCGUGGCAACAAUUUUUGUUGGGUAGGGGAGCGUCGUGCUUGAGGUGAAGCUGCCAGGUGACUGUGUGGUGGAUUGAGUGCGAGUGAGAAUGCAGGCAUGAGUAGCGAAUGACGGGUGGGAAUCCCGUCCUCCGAAUGACUAAGGGUUCCAGGGCCAGGUUCGUCCGCCCUGGGUUAGUCGGGUCCUAAGGCGAGGCCGACAGGCGUAGUCGAUGGGUAACCAGUUGUUAUUCUGGUACCGGCGAAGGACCGUCCAUGCUGAAGCGGGGGAUACUAACCAUCCUUGCCUGCCUGCUGCCUCUUAUUUUUGGGGUGUGUGGGUGUGGUGAGCGUGGGGCCUGAUCUUGUGGUAGGCAAGCGUGUUAACAGGGGUGACGCACAGUGGUAGCUUCCGCGUGGCUUAUGGCUUGCCACGUUUAACAGCGCAGCUUGUUCCUUAGGUAAAUCCGGGGAGCGUGAAGAGUGAGGCUGGAUGAUGAGACCGUGUGGUCGAAGUAGAGUGAUCCUGUGGUGCCAAGAAAAGCCUCGACGUGAGGUUCUAGCCGCCCGUACCCUAAACCGACACAGGUAGUCGAGUAGAGUAUACUAAGGAGUUCGAGUGAAUCGUGGUUAAGGAACUCGGCAAAAUGCCCCCGUAACUUCGGGAGAAGGGGGGCCUGAUCCUUGAAGCGCCUUUGCGUGCUAGGGGUGAUGGCCGCAGAAACCAGGGAGAAGCGACUGUUUAUCAAAAACACAGGUCCGUGCGAACACGUAAGUGGAUGUAUACGGACUGACGCCUGCCCGGUGCUGGAAGGUUAAGAGGAUCGGUUAGACUGUGUGUCGAAGCUGAGAAUUUAAGCCCCAGUAAACGGCGGUGGUAACUAUAACCAUCCUAAGGUAGCGAAAUUCCUUGUCGGGUAAGUUCCGACCUGCACGAAUGGCGUAACGACUUCUCCACUGUCUCAACCGCGAACUCGGUGAAAUUGCAUUACGAGUAAAGAUGCUCGUUACGCGCAGCAGGACGGAAAGACCCCGGGACCUUUACUAUAGCUUGGUAUUGGUGUUUGGUACGGUUUGUGUAGGAUAGGUGGGAGACUGUGAAGCCCUCACGCUAGUGGGGGUGGAGUCAUUGUUGAAAUACCACUCUGAUCGUGCUGGAUGUCUAACCUUGGACCAUGAUCUGGUUCAGGGACAGUGCCUGGUGGGUAGUUUAACUGGGGCGGUUGCCUCCUAAAUGGUAACGGAGGCGCU